rnacentral:rRNA from 1 species
AGAAUGAACGUUGGCGGCGUGGAUUAGGCAUGCAAGUCGUGCGCGAUCUGUAGCAAUACAGGGAGAGCGGCGAAAGGGAGAGUAUAACGUAGGUAUCUACCCUCGGGUCUGGGAUAGCGGCGGGAAACUGCCGGUAAUACCAGAUGAUGUCCCCGGACAAAGGUGUGAUUCCGCUCGAGGAGGAGCCUACGCCCUAUUAGCUAGUUGGCAGGGUAACGCCU